rnacentral:rRNA from 1 species
UAAAUACUCCCGAGAGACCGAUAGCGAACCAGUACCGUGAGGGAAAGGUGAAAAGCACUUCGAACAGAAGAGUGAAAUAGUUCCUGAAACCGUGCGCCUACAAGCGGUCGGAGCUCGUUAAUGAGUGACGGCGUGCCUUUUGCAUAAUGAACCUACGAGUUGCCUUUGCCGGCAAGGUUAAGUGUGACGACACACGUAUCCGAAGCGAAAGCGAGUCUGAACAGGGCGUAUAGUCGGCAGUGGCAGACGCGAAACCAAGUGAUCUACCCUUGGCCAGGUUGAAGGCUGGGUAACACCAGCUGGAGGACCGCACCAAUAAGCGUUGAAAAGCUUCUGGAUGAGCUGAGGGUAGGGGUGAAAGGCUAAUCAAACUUGGAGAUAGCUCGUACUCCCCGAAAUGCAUUUAGGUGCAGCCUUGCGGGUUACUGAUGUGAGGUAGAGCGACUGAUAAGAUGCGAGGGCUUCACCGCCUAUCAAGUCUUGACAAACUCCGAAUGCGCAUCAGUUCUACCGCAGGAGUGAGGGCAUGGGUGCUAAGGUCCGUGCCCGAGAGGAGAAGAAUCCGGACCACCUGCUAAGGUCCCGAAAUGACAGCUAAGUUAAACUAACGAAGUCUGACUGCUAAGACAGCUAGGAUGUUGGCUUGGAAGCAGCCAUUCAUUUAAAGAGUGCGUAACAGCUCACUAGUCGAGGAGUCGGGCGUGGAUAAUAAUCGGGUAUUAAGUUGUCUACCGAAGCAGUGGGAUCAUUAAUAUGAUCGGUAGGGGAGCAUUCCAGUCAGCGUCGAAGGCGUACCGUGAGGUAUUCUGGAGCGUCUGGAAAAGCAAAUGUAGGUAUAAGUAACGAUAAAGGGGGCGGGAAACCCCCUCGCCGAAAGACUAAGGUUUCCUGAUCAACGCUAAUCGGAUCAGGGUCAGUCGGGUCCUAAGGCUCAGCCGAACGGCGAUGCCGAUGGCAGAAACGGUUAAUAUUCCGUUACUACCUUCAGGAGUGACGUGGAGACGCAGUAGUGACAGUGCCGCCAUCUGACGGAAUAGAUGGUUGAAGGGUGUAGGAGUCGAUCAUGGCAGGCAAAUCCACCAUGAGAUCCGAACCUGACAGUAUGCCGCGUCCUUCGGGACAAGGCAAUAGUGCGCGUAAGCAUGCUGCCGAGAAAAUCCGCUAAACUUAAUCCUGCAGGUACCCGUACCGCAAACGGACACACGUAGUCGGGUUGAAUAUACUAAGGCGCUUGAGUGAUUCACGGUUAAGGAACUAGGCAAACUGACCCUGUAACUUCGGGAUAAAGGGUCCCUACCCUUUUAUGGGAGGGCGCAGAGAAUCGGUCCAGGCAACUGUUUAACAAAAACACAGGGCUGUGCCAAAUCGAAAGAUCCAGUAUACAGCCUGACACCUGCCCGGUGCUGGAAGGUUAAGAGGAGAUGUCAUCGAUAAGAGAAGCGUUGAAUUGAAGCCCCAGUAAACGGCGGCCGUAACUAUAACGGUCCUAAGGUAGCGAAAUUCCUUGUCGGGUAAGUUCCGACCUGCACGAAUGGUGUAAUGAUCUGGACACUGUCUCAACCGUGAGCUCAGUGAAAUUGUAGUAUCGGUGAAGAUGCCGAUUACCCGCGAUGGGACGAAAAGACCCCGUGAACCUUUACUAUAGCUUAUCAUUGAAUCUGGGCACGUGAUGUGUAGGAUAGGUCGGAGGCUUUGAAGCAGGUACGCCAGUAUUUGUGGAGCCGCUGUUGAAAUACGACCCUUUAUUUGUUUGGAUUCUAACCCGUGGAACGGGGACAUUGAUUGGUGGGUAGUUUGACUGGGGUGGUCGCCUCCAAAAGCGUAACGGAGGCUUCUAAAGGUGCCCUCAGACCGAUUGGUAACCGGUCGCAGAGUGUAAUGGCAUAAGGGCGCUUGACUGGGAGACAUACAAGUCGAUCAGGUAGGAAACUAGAGCAUAGUGAUCCGGUGGUUCCGCAUGGAAGGGCCAUCGCUCAAAGGAUAAAAGGUACUCCGGGGAUAACAGGCUGAUCAUUCCCAAGAGCUCAUAUCGACGGAAUGGUUUGGCACCUCGAUGUCGGCUCGUCACAUCCUGGGGCUGGAGAAGGUCCCAAGGGUUGGGCUGUUCGCCCAUUAAAGUGGCACGCGAGCUGGGUUCAGAACGUCGUGAGACAGUUCGGUCUCUAUCUAUCGUGGGCGCAUGAAAUUUGCGUGGCUCUGACACUAGUACGAGAGGACCGUGUUGGACAGACCUCUGGUUUACCGGUUGUACCGCCAGGUGCACCGCCGGGUAUCUAAGUCUGGAUUGGAUAAGUGCUGAAAGCAUCUAAGUACGAAGCCAGCCUCAAGAUAAGAUCUCCCUGAGGGUCGUUGU